rnacentral:rRNA from 1 species
UCUUUCCUCCCAAGUGCUUGCACUCAAUUGGAAAGAGGAGUGGCGGACGGGUGAGUAACACGUGGGUAACCUACCCAUCAGAGGGGGAUAACACUUGGAAACAGGUGCUAAUACCGCAUAACAGUUUAUGCCGCAUGGCAUAAGAGUGAAAGGCGCUUUCGGGUGUCGCUGAUGGAUGGACCCGCGGUGCAUUAGCUAGUUGGUGAGGUAACGGCUCACCAAGGCCACGAUGCAUAGCCGACCUGAGAGGGUGAUCGGCCACACUGGGACUGAGACACGGCCCAGACUCCUACGGGAGGCAGCAGUAGGGAAUCUUCGGCAAUGGACGAAAGUCUGACCGAGCAACGCCGCGUGAGUGAGGAAGGUUUUCGGAUCGUAAAACUCUGUUGUUAGAGAAGAACAAGGACGUUAGUAACUGAACGUCCCCUGACGGUAUCUAACCGGAAAGCCACGGCUAACUACGUGCCAGCAGCCGCGGUAAUACGUAGGUGGCAAGCGUUGUCCGGAUUUAUUGGGCGUAAAGCGAGCGCAGGCGGUUUCCUAAGUCUGAUGUGCAAGCCCCCGGCUCAACCGGGGAGGGUCAUUGGACACUGGGAGACUUGAGUGCAGAAGAGGAGAGUGGAAUUCCAUGUGUAGCGGUGAAAUGCGUAGAUAUAUGGAGGAACACCAGUGGCGAAGGCGGCUCUCUGGUCUGUAACUGACGCUGAGGCUCGAAAGCGUGGGGAGCAAACAGGAUUAGAUAUCCUGGUAGUCCACGCCGUAAACGAUGAGUGCUAAGUGUUGGAGGGUUUCCGCCCUUCAGU